rnacentral:rRNA from 1 species
GUCCAGACUCCUACGGGAGGCAGCAGUGGGGAAUAUUGCACAAUGGGGGAAACCCUGAUGCAGCGACGCCGCGUGAGCGAUGAAGUAUUUCGGUAUGUAAAGCUCUAUCAGCAGGGAAGAAGAUGACGGUACCUGACUAAGAAGCCCUGGCUAACUACGUGCCAGCAGCCGCGGUAAUACGUAGGGGGCAAGCGUUAUCCGGAUUUACUGGGUGUAAAGGGAGCGUAGACGGCGAUGCAAGCCAGAUGUGAAAGCCCGGGGCUCAACCCCGGGACUGCAUUUGGAACUGUGUGGCUGGAGUGUCGGAGAGGCAGGCGGAAUUCCUAGUGUAGCGGUGAAAUGCGUAGAUAUUAGGAGGAACACCAGUGGCGAAGGCGGCCUGCUGGACGAUGACUGACGUUGAGGCUCGAAAGCGUGGGGAGCAAACAGGAUUAGAUACCCUUGUA